rnacentral:rRNA from 1 species
GAUGAACGCUGGCGGCGUACCUAAUACAUGCAAGUCGAGCGAACGGACGAGAAGCUUGCUUCUCUGAUGUUAGCGGCGGACGGGUGAGUAACACGUGGAUAACCUACCUAUAAGACUGGGAUAACUUCGGGAAACCGGAGCUAAUACCGGAUAAUAUUUUGAACCGCAUGGUUCAAAAGUAAAAGACGGUCUUGCUGUCACUUAUAGAUGGAUCCGCGCUGCAUUAGCUAGUUGGUAAGGUAACGGCUUACCAAGGCAACGAUGCAUAGCCGACCUGAGAGGGUGAUCGGCCACACUGGAACUGAGACACGGUCCAGACUCCUACGGGAGGCAGCAGUAGGGAAUCUUCCGCAAUGGGCGAAAGCCUGACGGAGCAACGCCGCGUGAGUGAUGAAGGUCUUCGGAUCGUAAAACUCUGUUAUUAGGGAAGAACAUAUGUGUAAGUAACUGUGCACAUCUUGACGGUACCUAAUCAGAAAGCCACGGCUAACUACGUG